AAUUCUCAACCUUACCCGUCUUGUCACGGGCUUAAGGCUUGGAUGUGGGGGCUUGCAGGUCCGCCUUUACAGGGUGGUCUGCUCCUCUGAAAUGCAUUAGUGGGUUUGUGCCCCUCAUCUAUUGGUGUGAUAAUUAUCUACGCCGCUGGGUGAUGCAUCAACGAAACCUGCUCAUAACCGUCCGUCUCGGACAACUUUGACCA
rnacentral:misc_RNA from 1 species